UACGGGGGGGGCAAGCGUUGUUCGGAAUUACUGGGCGUAAAGGGUGCGCAGGCGGCCGAGUGUGUGAGGCGUGAAAGCCCGGGGCUUAACCCCGGAAUUGCACCUCAAACUACACGGCUAGAGCAUUGGAGAGGGUAGCAGAAUUCACGGUGUAGCAGUGAAAUGCGUAGAUAUCGUGAGGAAUACCAGAGGCGAAGGCGGCUACCUGGACAAUUGCUGACGCUCAGGUACGAAAGCGUGGGGAGCAAAAGGG
rnacentral:rRNA from 1 species